AAUUUUUUAAAAAUUUUAGUAACAUAUAUUGUACUUUUGGUUUCAGAAUAGAAUUUAGUGAUUCAUCACUUACAUAUAACAUCCAGGGCUUAUCACAAGUGCCCUCUUUAAUGCU